UAUUAAAAAUUUCAUCUCUUUUUACGGUUAAAAACUAACAUGAUUGACAGACCACAUAUACCUUAUUUUGACCUACAAGACCAAUUUUUAACCAUAGAAAUAGAUGAAAUUUUUAUCA
rfam:Gossypium raimondii Chr02_contig_547, whole genome shotgun sequence.